GCUUUUAAUACACCGCAGCAAUAACAGGUUGAGUUAUCUCAACACAAAGUAAUAACCGUUAAGGGUGUAGCCUAUGAUCAACACAAAUAUGAAAUAUUGGUCCUGGAUGGGCGCAUUUUCUCUGUCGAUGCUCUUCUGGGCCGAACUCCUCUGGAUCAUUACUCACUGAUCCCUGACCCCGCUGUUUGCUUUGCCUCAAGGUUUCUCCUCUUU
rfam:Escherichia coli CFT073, complete genome.